GCCGCCUCGUUCCGCCUCCGCCCGCCCUCAGCGCCCGCCCACGGAUCGCGCGCGCACGCGUGUGGAAACCCUCUGGUGUGGAGGGAGAGGGCGGACGCUUAAAGUGACGCCCUUGUUGGUGUUUGUUCCUGGUUAAUAGUACUGCCGGGUCCUACGGGCUGGCUUUGUUUUGCAAAUCACGGAACCGGUCAGGUUGCAAGGGGCCACAGCGGGUUGUCCGGUCCAACCGCCCUGCCCAAGCAGGGUCAUCCCAGAGCACAUGGCACAGGAUUUUGUCCAGACGGUUCUUGAAUAUCUCCAGUGAGGGAGAUUCCACAACUUCUCGUCGUGCUUGCUGCUGUCUUGUCUUCUUUCUCCCUGUGCACUUCAGCUGUUGAAGGGAACAAACAAGCGGACACAGGCAGCAGAUUGUGGCCCAUGGAGUUCUCCUUGCGUCUCCUUAGAGAGCCAGCUCAGAGCCUCAGACAGCUCAAAAUACUGCCUCUCAGAAGAAGGAAGAAAAGAAUGCGGAGUUCACAGUUGUUGAUUGUUUCCAGCAGAAAUUUGGCCCUGCAGUGCUGCCCCUAAAACAGCAAUGUGUUGUCAGAAUAGCAGAAGAAGGUGUUAAUUUGUGUCAUCAUGGAAAACUCUCAUGGCCUGAAGUAAGAGACAGAUACUUGCCAAAAUGUGUUACUAAACAGGGGCAUAAUUGAGAAACAUUUGAGGAUUGCCCAGUGUUUAAGACUUACAUAACUGUUCUGGUAAUGGAUAUGAUAUCCUUUAAGAGAGAUUAAGUAUUUCAUAAAAGACCUGUUACGGAAAGAAUUAUAUAAGGUAAUAGAAUAAUGAGUAAACUUGUGUGUAAUAUAUACAUUUGUUUAUAGCAAUGCAACAAAUUUGGUUUGCAUUCUUGUAUACAGGUAGAGCUAUCGCAGUAGUACAGCUGUUGCCUAUUAAAAAACUGCAAGACCUAAUCACAAUGCCAAUAUACUUGAAGGUGUAAAAUCCAUCUAAAGAUGAUACUGUGUCUUAGUUAUCUGUGAUGUUAUAACUGUCUGAAGAGGAAGAGCCAGAAAGGAGAAUAGCUUUAUGUGAUAGCUCAAAAUCCUCUUAGCUUAUUUUUAAAUAGAUUUAAAAGUGAGUGUGUUUAUCCAAAGUGAAAAAUUGUGUGGGAGUUCAUACUUCAGAUUUAACCCUUUUAUGCAGAAGCAAGUGUCCACAAAAUGUUUGCUUUGGUAUGGCUAAAUUGCUUUCAGCUUUUGUUAAAAAGCUUUAUGCUUCUGUUAAACCGUUAUGAAUCUGAACAUAUGCAAAACUUAAAUUUUAUAAUCCAUUUGAGAGGCUAGGAUGGAAGAUGAUGUCCUCUAUUUCUUUGGUAGUGCUCUUUGACAAUGAAACAAAUGUCAUGGGCACAAGAAUUUUGUUGGAAGUAAUUCUGUAAAAAUGUCACCAUAAUAGGUGUAGGAAUUUGUUUUAAGUAGCGUGGUCUUGAUAUGUCUCAAAGUGCAUUAUUUAACCAUUGUACAGUAGACAACUGUGUUGUUCUUUUCAAUUAUUGGGAAAAUCUCUGAGCACCUCUGGAAAAAACAAGACUUGUUUAUGAAUUACCACUAAAUAAACUAAACCCACUCUUCCCCA
rnacentral:lncRNA from 1 species